UCGGCUUAGAGUUUGAUCAUGGCUCAGGACGAACGCUGGCGGCGUGCCUAAUACAUGCAAGUCGAACGAAUUGGUGCUUGCAUCAUUGAGUGGCGAACUGGUGAGUAACACGUGGGAAACCUGCCCAGAAGUGGGGGAUAACACCUGGAAACAGAUGCUAAUACCGCAUAACAACUUACCGCAUGGUCGAGUUUGAAAGAUGUUCGUAUCACUUUUGGAUGGUCCCGCGGCGUAUUAGCUAGAUGGUGAGGUAACGGCUCACCAUGGCAAUGAUACGUAGCCGACCUGAGAGGGUAAUCGGCCACAUUGGGACUGAGACACGGCCCAAACUCCUACGGGAGGCAGCAGUAGGGAAUCUUCCACAAUGGACGAAAGUCUGAUGGAGCAACGCCGCGUGAGUGAAGAAGGGUUUCGGCUCGUAAAACUCUGUUGUUAAAGAAGAACAUAUCUGAGGUAAUUCAGGUAUUGACGGUAUUUAACCAGAAAGCCACGGCUAACUACGUGCCAGCAGCCGCGGUAAUACGUAGUGGCAAGCGUUGUCCGGAUUUAUUGGGCGUAAAGCGAGCGCAGGCGGUUUUUUAAGUCUGAUGUGAAAGCCUUCGGCUCAACCGAAGAAGUGCAUCGGAAACUGGGAAACUUGAGUGCAGAAGAGGAC
rnacentral:rRNA from 1 species